UACUGAAGGUCAAACUCUGUGUGAGUCUGAAUCAGUGGUUAAAAGACCCGCAGAAUCCCACAGACUGACCUGCACUUAUUCAGGGUUCAGUAGUGAUCCUCGCAUAGUUUGGAUCAGACAGGCAAUUGGAAAAGGACUUGAAUGGAUCGCUUACAUUAACAGUGGUGGUAGCACCGACUACUCUCAGUCAUUAAAGGACUGGUUCACCAUCUUCAGAGACAACAACAAACAGCAGGUGUGUCUGCAGAUGAGCAGCUUGACGACUGAAGAUUCUGCUGAUUAUUAUUGUGCUCGAGAGCCACAGUGA